UUGUUCCAGGAAGGAAAGGGUGGAGCCAGAGGCUGCUCUGCUAAUGCCCCACUAGAGUCCUCUAUUAAUAGCUCUUAAGAAGCCCUGGGCAGCACAGUCCUGGUUUCUGCCUUUGGAGAGAAGCUGCUGUACUCCAGGAGAGCAGGGACAAGCAAGGUGUUUGAUACAGUCUUACUCCUUGAGAAUGGCCUCAGUUGCUCCAUCACGGGAUCCCAGGUUGGAUGCUGAAUGGGAGGAAUGGAAGAAGGAAUUUGGAAAAACCUACAGCCCGGAUGAAGAAGGUCACAGAAGAGCACUGUGGGAGAAAAGUAAGGAACUAGUUGAGAAGCACAAUGUGGAAUAUGAGCAGGGCAGGAGCAGCUAUUCUCUGGGCCUGAAUGAAUUUAGUGACUUGACAGAUGAAGAACAUAGGAAAUAUUGUCUUGGAAAGAUGAAGUACACAGAGGAGUCACCUACAUCUGAGAAUGUAGAGGAGAAAGCUAAGUGACUCCAGUGAUGGAUUAGCAGUUUCUGCCCAAGAUGUGCGCUGCAUGCUGCUGGGGAGAAUGGACUGCAGGAAAGAAGGACCAGGAGGGGUCCUCGCCAUCGCAUUUGGAGUAAAGUGGUGAAUUCGUUUAAUGUCAUCACUGUGGUGUGGACUACCAGUCAUAAUCUCACUAAUAAAACACUACAAUUUUUUACUGCAGUGUCUUAAAA